UACGUAGGGACCAAGCGUUGUUCGGAUUUACUGGGCGUAAAGGGCGCGUAGGCGGCUUAACAAGUCACUUGUGAAAUCUCCGGGCUUAACUCGGAAAGGUCAACUGAUACUGUGCGACUAGAGUCCGGUAGGGGAGCGUGGAAUUCCUGGUGUAGCGGUGAAAUGCGCAGAUAUCAGGAGGAACACCAGCGGCGAAGGCGGCGCUCUGGGCCGGAACUGACGCUGAGGAGCGAAAGCGUGGGGAGCAAACAGG
rnacentral:rRNA from 1 species